rnacentral:tRNA from 1 species
GGUUAUGGCUCAUCGGUAGAGUGCUUGCCUAGCACAUGUGAGGUUCUGGGUUCAAUCCUCAGCACCA